GUCGAUGAUGGGGAGCUAGCUUGCUAGAAGAAAGUCAUGGCGGACGGGGUGAGUAAACGUGUAAAGAACUUACCAUAUAGACUGGGAUAACAGAGGGAAACUUCUGAUAAUACUAGAUAAAAGUUAGUAGUAGCAUUACUAAGUAAUGAAAAGGUAGCAAUACGCUAUAUGAGAGCUUUUGCAUCCUAUUAGCUAGUUGGUGGGGUAAAAGCCCCUACCCAAGGCGAUGAUAGGUAGCCGGCCUGAGAGGGUGGACGGCCACAAGGGGACUGAGAUACGGCCCUUACUCCUACGGGGGAGGCAGCAGUGGGGAAUAUUGGACAAUGGAGGCAACUCUGAUCCAGCAAUUCUGUGUGUGUGAAGAAGGUUUUAGGACUGUAAAACACUUUUAGUAGGGGAAGAAAGAAAUGACGGUACCUACAGAAGAAGCGACGGCUAAAUACGUGCCAGCAGCCGCGGUAAU
rnacentral:rRNA from 1 species